GACAUUUCCUUAAAAAUUAAUUGAAUAUUUCCCAAACAUCACAAAGACUCAUCUCCUUAUUUCCUAAAUGAAUUUAUUUCAUUUCUCAACUUUGCAUUCUUAAUAGGAGGAAAAUACUUACCUAAAAACGUUUCAGACAAGUCAUUCCAUGUGGUGAUAGAAUUAAUCUCUAAGGAAUUGAGCUAAAUUUUUUCUCUAUCCCUAAAAGAAU
rnacentral:lncRNA from 1 species